rnacentral:tRNA from 1 species
GCACUGGUGGUUCAGUGGUAGAAUCCUUGCCUUCUUUGCGGAAGACCCAGGUUCAAUUCCCAGCCAGUGUA